CAUAUCUUGGCUUGUCCAUUAUUAUCUAUUUACUGUGAACUGUAUUAUUAUUUGACAUUUGAGGGAUGUUCCAAUGUUAUAAGGAUAGACAUUGGAAAUGUUAACCGAGUCAUAAUCAGGUUUAGGCCUGGUAUCCUAUUAUUAUUUACCAAAUGAAUUCAGAAUUAAUAUUGUAACAUAGACCUAAAAAAUCUAUAAAACAACUUUUAACAACGGAUCUCUUGGUUCUCGCAUCGAUGAAGAACGUAGCAAAGUGCGAUAACUAGUGUGAAUUGCAUAUUCAGUGAAUCAUCGAGUCUUUGAACGCAACUUGCGCUCAUUGGUAUUCCAAUGAGCACGCCUGUUUCAGUAUCAAAACAAACCCUCUAUCCAACUUUUGUUGUAUAGGAUUAUUGGGGGCCUCUCGAUCUGUAUAGAUCUUGAAAUCCCUGAAAUUUACUAAGGCCUGAACUUGUUUAAAUGCCUGAACUUUUUUUUAAUAUAAAGGAAAGCUCUUGUAAUUGACUUUGAUGGGGCCUCCCAAAUAAAUCUUUUUUAAAUUUGAUCUGAAAUCAGGCGGGAUUACCCGCUGAACUUAAGCAUAUCAAAG
rnacentral:rRNA from 1 species